UACGUAGGGUGCAAGCGUUGUCCGGAAUUAUUGGGCGUAAAGAGCUCGUAGGCGGUUUGUCGCGUCGACUGUGAAAACCCGAGGCUUAACCUCGGGCCUGCAGUCGAUACGGGCAGACUAGAGUACAGAAGGGGCAACCGGAAUUCCCAGUGUAGCGGUGAAAUGACGUAGAUAUUGGGAAGAACACCUGCGGCGAAGGCGGGUAGCUGGGCCGACACUGACGCUGAUGCGCGAAAGCCAGGGGAGGCGAACGGG
rnacentral:rRNA from 1 species